rnacentral:rRNA from 1 species
UACGGAGGAUGCGAGCGUCAUCCGGAUUUAUUGGGUUUAAAGGGUGCGUAGGCGGACGCUUAAGUCAGCGGUAAAAUUGCGGGGCUCAACCUCGUCGAGCCGUUGAAACUGGGUGCCUUGAGUGGGCGAGAAGUACGCGAAAUGCGUGGUGUAGCGGUGAAAUGCAUAGAUAUCACGCAGAACUCCGAUUGCGAAGGCAGCGUACCGGCGCCCUACUGACGCUGAAGCACGAAGGCGUGGGUAUCGAACAGG